rnacentral:lncRNA from 1 species
CAGAACAUUCUACAUGUAGUGAGAAGCCACUGAAUGGAUUUUUAACAAUGGAUGAGCAUAUUCUGAUUUUUGUCUUAAGAAGGUGAUUUUCUGCAAAUAUGGAAAUGAACUGGAAGUGGGCAAAGGUAAUAACAGGGAGACCCUUCGGAGGGUAUUGCAGCUGAAGUGAGAGAUGGUGGCCAGAAUUGGAAUGGUGAACACCUGAGCGACCAUCUGGAGCCCACACAUCCUCAACAGAUCACACUGCUGCUUGGCCACUGCUCUCCACCCUCUUCUGAGGCUGCUGCUUAUACCACAGUGUUGAUGGCCUCCUCUCUGCUCCCCAGAGCAGAUGCUCCCACCAACACUGCUGCUCUUGGGCAUCAGAUAGGUUCUGCGAGCUUCACCAUUGUCAGAAGGCCCAGAUGGCUCCGGGAGGUCCCAUGGAUGCUCAGCCCAAACCAGGUGUGGGCUGUGCCCGCCAGCCCACUUUGUGGAGCUCAGACAGGCUGGA